CCCCUCCUUGAUCCACAGGGCCACCUAGAACAGGUGCCACCACCCCCAUGGCCCCUCCUUGAUCCACAGGGCCACCUAGAACAGGUGCCACCACCUGUUGUGUCCCACCUCAAUCCACAGGGUCAUCUAGAACGUGGGCCACCACCCCCAUGGCCCCUCCUUGAUCCACAGGGCCACCUAGAACAUGGGCCACCACCUGUUGUGUCCCACCUCAAUCCACAGGGUCACCUAGAACGUGGGCCACCACCCCCAUGGCCCCUCCUUGAUCCAUAGGGACACCUAGAACAGGUGCCACUACCCCCAUGGCCCCUCCUUGAUCCAUAGGGACACCUAGAAUGUGGGCCACCACCCCCGUGGCCCAUCCUUGAUCCACAGGGACACCUAGAACAUCACCCUGUGGUCCAGGGGCCAUCACCCAAUGUCCUGCCAGUCUGUAGGGUCACUUAGAAGAGCCCUAUGUCCCACAGGUGCCACCACCCCUUGUGUCCCCCUCAAUCCACAGGAUCACCUAGAACAGCCCCUGGUGCCACCACCCCUUUGUGUCCCCCCUCAGCCCAUAGGGUCACCUAAAAUGUCACCCUGUGGUCCAGGGGCCAUUACCCAAUGUCCUGCCAGUCUGUAGGGUCACCUAGAACAUGGGCCACCACCCCUAUUAUUCCUCCUUGAUCCACAGGAUCAACAAGAACAGACCCUGGUGCCACCACCCCCUUGUGCCCCUCUCAGCCCACAGGGUCACCUAGAAUAGCCCCUGGUGCCACCAUCCCCAUGGCUCCUCCUUGAUCCACAGAGUCACCUAGAAUGUCACCGUGUGGUCCAAGGGCCACCACCCAGUGUCCUGCCAGUCUGUAGGGUCACUUAGAAGAGCCCUAUGUCCCACAGGUGCCACCACCCCAUUGUGUCCCCUCUCAGUCCAUAGGGUCACCUAGAACAGCCCCUGGUGCCACCACCCCCUUGUGUCACCCCUCCAUCCAUAGAAUGACCCAGAAUGUCACCCCAUGGUGACCACUGUGUGCUGCUGGUGGCAGGGGCAAUGCAAUGGGGACACGGGGACAUGGGGACACGGGGACAUCACAGCGACAUGGGGACACGACAGGGACAUGGGGACAUCACAGGGACAUGGGGACACGGGGACAUGAGGACAUCAAGGGGACAUGGAGACAUGGGGACACGGGGACAUGGGGACACGGGGACAUGGAGACAUGGGGACAUCACAGGGACAUGGGGACAGGGGACACAGGGACAUGAGGACAUCAUGGGGACAUGGAGACAUGGACAUGGGGACACGGGGACACCAGGACAUCAUGGGGACAUCAUGGGGACAUCAUGGGGACACAGGGACAUGGGGACACAGGGACAGGGACACACGGGGGGGACGGACGGACAGACGGACACGGGACAGACAGAUGGACACGGAUGGACACAGGGACAGGGACACACGGCGGGACGGACGGACAGAUGGACACAGACGGACACGGAUGGACAUGGGGACAAUGGACAGGGGACACACAGGGGACUGACAGACAUGGGACAGACAGAUGGACACGGAUGGACAGGGGACACACGGGGGAUGGACAGAUGGACAUGGAUGGACAGGGGACAGACGGGGACUGAUGGACAUGGGACAGACAGAUGGACACAGGGACACGUGGGGGGACGGACGGACAGACGGACACGGAUGGACACAGGGACACACGAGGGUCGGACAGAUGGACACGGAUGGACACAGGGACAGGGGACACACAGGGGACAGACAGAUGGACAGGGGACAGACGGGACAACGGACAGGGGGACAGAUGGAUGGGGGGACAACGGGGGGACAGACGGACACACGGGUCUGUGCGUGAGGGGGACACGGAGAUGGACAGAGAGGACAGAGAGGGGACAAUGGACAGAGGGACACAGGGAUGGACAGGGGACAGGCAGGGGACAAUGGACGGGGGGGAUAGAGGGGGGGACAGACGGACAGUAGGGACAGAAGGACAGCGGGGGCAGGGGACAGAGGGAUGAUUGACAGGGGGACAGACAGACAGAGGGGACACCGAGGGACAGAUGGACGUAGUUACACUGAGGGACAGACGGACGUGGGGACAGCGGGCAGGAGGUGACAGAGGGGAGGGGACAGAUGGCUACGAGUCACUGUGGCAGGACGGACAGACGGACAGGGAUGGACAAUGGGGGGCACAGACAGACGGACAGAGCGGGGCACGGACAGACAGGGAUGGACAGAUGGACAGGGAUGGACAGUGGUGGGGACAGAUGGAUUGGGGGGAGGGUUGGAUGGCAGACAGACAGACAGACAUGGGGGGGGGAUGGAUGGAUGGAUGGACACGGGGAGGACAUGGACAGACAGACACAGGGAGGACAUGGACAGACGGACACAGGGAGGACAUGGACAGACAGACAUGGCAGGGGAUACAGAUGGACGGACGGACACAUGGGGGAACAUGGAUGGACAGACAGACACGGCGAGACAUGGAUGGACAGACAGACGGGGGGGAAUGGACAGACGGACAUGGGGAGGGGACAUGGAUGGACAGAUGGACACAGGGGGACAUGGAUGGACAGACGGACACGGCGGUGGGGGGAUGACACAGACAGACACAGGAGGCGGGACACGGACGGACAGACAGACACGGACAG
rnacentral:lncRNA from 1 species